GAAAUGCGAUAAGUAAUGUGAAUUGCAGAAUUCAGUGAAUCAUCGAAUCUUUGAACGCAGCUUGCGCUCCUUGGUAUUCCUUGGAGCAUGCCUGUUUGAGUAUCAUGAAAUCUUCAAAGUAAAUCUUUUGUUAACUCAAUUGGUUUCUACUUUGGUAUUGGAGGUCUUUGCAGCUUCACACCUGCUCCUCUUUGUUCAUUAGCUGGAUCUCAGUGUUAUGCUUGGUUCCACUCGGCGUGAUAAGUUAUCUAUCGCUGAGGACACUGUAAAAGGUGGCCAAGGUAAAUGCAGAUGAACCGCUUCUAAUAGUCCAUUGACUUGGACAAUACUUUUAUGAUCUGAUCUCAAAUCAGGUAGGACUACGCGCUGAACUUAAGC
rnacentral:misc_RNA from 1 species